AAGUUCUAAGAGGAUUGCAGAAGCAGCCUCAGGGCAUUGAGCACAGACUGAAUGACUCAGUGACGCUUGGAUCAGGUCAGAUCAAAUUCUCAAGCAAACAGAUGGCUGGGGAUAUUCAGUAACAACGGUGAGGAGAGAGAGGAACAAUUCACAUUUCAAGGGACCCUUCCUCAAAACGGCCUGUUCUGAAGGAGCUUUCCCGCAGAAAUCACUGGAUUGAAAGGUACUCAGGAAGUUCCUGUCUCAGCCGAAUUCCUAACUCCUGUCUCAUCCAUAACCGCAUCAAAGACAGUUGGUCAGCCAGAGAGAGAUGGAGAGGGAGAUCUGGAGCCUUCAGUAAAUCCUGCAG